AAAAGACUCGCCUUCCCGGAUUGAAGGAGGCUCUAAGUCCCUGGUUUUACUCAAGACUGUGAGGUUUCCUAGCCAAAACUAGGGGAAUCACGCCAGUCCUCAGGACUCGAGAUGGAUUUAAAAACCCUGUGAACCUAGUCGCUGCCCCUUCAGCUCAGAUUAUAUUUGCGGACGACUCUAAGAAGCUAAGCCCCAGGGGUGGAUUUUCUUUCCGCCUCUCCCACCCUCAGUAUCUCGGAGCUGGUCACUUGAGGAGCAAAGAGCCUGCAGAUUCGGCAGCGUCUCUCCUCUUGAGGAAAGGCUAUCGGGCAGAUACUAAGUCCGCUACUUCUUCCACUGGCUCCCUCUCCGGCAGUCUGGCAAAAGAUGAGAAGUUUCCACUUGUCCAAUCCCUGAGAGUUCAGCACAAGCAUCACUCAGCAUCCUGUGUUGGCCAGAGUCCGAGCCCCGCUCAGCUUUGCCUAAUGCCUCUUCCCCCAAGACUACAGUACUUUCAACUACCAACAGUGCAUGUAUCGAAGCGACAACUGCAGCUGGCGCCCGAAGAUCGAAGAAAGAGUCUCACGGCACUAAAACCAGACAACCUAUUCUCCAAGAUUUGCCUACUAGUUCCCCGGUCACACCCCCACCGUCCCCGCUGCCACUGGAGGAGCUAGAGCCACGACGCUGGGCCAAGUCCAGAGCGCGGCAUUCUUCAGGUAAAAAAAAGUCCAAAAAUGGGAGAGUGGGCGAUGGCUGCCUUUGGAGCCGUUGCGUUUCCCCGGGGCGUUGCUGGGUACAAGCUCCGGGUGCCUGGUUGAGCACACCGGUGACAAUUGGUUUUCUAAGAUACACACCGAAGGAGCCCCGACAUCUUUGGCUUUGCAGGUGCCCAUCAGUUCUUCCUCCCAGAACGAGGGCCCCAUCUCGAAUCUUGGGCUUUGGGGAACGUGGAAAUUUGUCUAGACGCACCCGACGGUUCUGUGCGUCUGUACCCCCUUACCUCCCCUCCCAGUGCAGUAACUUCAAGGGGGGUGGCUUCUGUUUUAAGGUGGUACAGUCACCCCGAAAGACCCCUGGCGAAAGGAAAAAGGAAAAACCAGAGCGGCAUGUGAACCAAGGGGAAAAGAAGCGGAGCCAGAAUGUAAUUAAUAGAACUGAAUUUGGCCCACGGACCCUUGCGUUGCUGGAGUCUUCCGUCCCAAUUAAUAAAACUUCUAUAUUCCGAGAGCUUCCGAGGAAAAUGAGAUCAUCUUCAGACAGCCCAGGCAUUGAGGGAUGUAGAUGGGCCGAAGAGACUUUCUUUAAACCAACCCAGAAAGAUGGUAGGAUAGGUGCCCAGAAGCCUGAAAGGAAGGGUGGAGGCUCAAAAAAGUUUCAGUGCCAUAAAAAUACCCCAAGAAAUGAGAUGUUUAUCCUACCUAGAAGCAGGUCGAGAAAAAUAAAAUAAUUGCAGUGGAG
rnacentral:lncRNA from 1 species